AAAGAAGGUUUCACAAAGCCCCGAGGCCGAGGCUGUGAGUCGUUCCUGUGGAAUCGGGGAGCCUGCAGGGAGGUCACCCUUUGUUCCCUCUGACAGAGGCGGCUUGGCUGGUGGCUGUGGUCUCAGCAGAACCCUGAAGUCAGCAGAGCUUGUAUCAGGGACCUUCCCACUUUCCUUGCUCACACUCCCGGCCUUCCCUCCCUGCGGGAAGGCUCCCAUCCCAGGCCCAGCCGGUGUCUCCUCUCCAGGACAGGCGCGGAGGAGGAGGCAGAGUAAAACCAGCCACCGCUCAGUGAGCACGUGCUACGCCCCAGGCCCCGGAGGGGAACAGGCUUUUUUCCUGUUCGGUGGAAAUGUUUGUGCUGCCAAGAGUCCAGCAGAGGAGAGACAGGAGAGGAAGACAGCACCUGCAUGGUCCCACGUGCGGGGCGUUUUGUGGGGAGCUCCAAGCUGGGAACAGAGGCCUUUCCCUGUUGCUCAGAAGGCUGCAUGGAGGUCAGGGUGCAAGAUGUUCUGGGAUGUGGGAUGGGGCCCCAGGGUGUCAGGGCUGGGAGGGCGCUAGGCCUCACUAGGCCCCACUCUCUCAUUAUACAAAUAAGAAAAUGAGACCAGGCUCGGUGGCUUAGUCCUGUAAUCCCAGCACUUUGGGAGACCGAGGCGGGCAGAUGGCUUGAGCUCAAGAGUUGGAGACCAGCCUGGACAACAUAGCGAAACCCUGUCUCUACCAAAAAUACAAAAAAUUAGCUGGGUGUGGUGAUGUGUGCAUGUGGUCCCAGCUACUUGGAAGGCUGAGGUGUGAGGAUCGCUUGAACCCAGGAGGCAGAGGUUGCGGUGAGCCAAAAUCUCACCACUGCAUUCCAGCCCGGGUGACAGAGUGAGACCCUGUCUCAAAAAUUAAAAAAAGAAAGAAAAUGAGAUUCAGAGAGACAAAGUGACCUGCCCAGAGCCACACAGCACACCCGUGGCUAAGGUGGAAGUUGAUCCCAUGACUCCUGAGCCUCCGCCCAGCCCCUGCCAGGUCCCAUUCACCUUUCUCCAGGGCCUCCACCCCAGCCUGUUUCGUAAACCCACAUCGCAGUGAUGCCAGCCACUUCCUCGCUUCCUUUGUCACCAGCUUUUGACAUAAUCACUGGGUUUUCCAAAGGGAAACAUAUUUUGGGGUUUUGUUUGUUUGCUUGCUUGUUUUAUGAGACGGAGUCUCGUGCUGUUACCCAGGCUGGAAUGCAAUGGUGCGAUCUCGGCUCACUGCAGCCUCCACCUCCCAGGUUCAAGCGAUUCUCCUGCCUCAGCUUCCCGAGUAGCUGGGAUUACAGGUGCCUGCCACCAUGCCCAGCUAGUCUUUGUAUUUUCAUUAGAGAUGGGGUUUCACCAUGAUGGCCAGGCUAGUCUCAAACUCCCAACCUCAGGUGAUCCGCCCACCUUGGCCUCCCCAAGUGUUGGGAUUACAGGCGUGAGCCACCAUGCCCAGCCAUUUUGGUUUGUCUUUUUUUCUGCUCACUCGAAGAAUUCUGAACGCCCUUCCAAAUUAUUUGGUUGAGACUGGAGGCAGGCAGCGAGGCACACCAAAAACAUGACAACAACCCCGGGGACCCUGCAGUCACUGCUGGCCUGGAGGAAGAUGGGACACCAGGCCUGUCGCUGGGGCAUGGUCAGCUCAUGAGCCCGAAGGUCUCAGGAACAAGGGGCGUUGGCCAAGCUCCCCAGCCUGAUUGUGGUCCCCUGCAGGAGUGGCUGAGGGAGUCUACACAAACUGCUCCGAGGCUGGGGCUUUAGCAGCUAUGAGUGCCGACAGAGCCCCUGAGGAGGUGAAUGGCCAUCAGCCCAGCCAGAGUGGAGCCCUGCAGCCUGGUCUACCCUGGACAUAAUCCCUGAUUUGUACCUGAGCCUGUACCUGAGAUUACAUUUCCCAGCCUCCUUUGCAGCUAGGUGUGGUCAUGUGACUAAGUUCUAACCAACGGGAUGUGAGCACAAAGUGAUGUGCAUAGCUUCAGUAAAGAAAAGGGCAUGACCAGGCGCAGUGGCUCACUCCUGUAAUCCCAGCACUUUGGGAGUUUGAAACCAGCCUGGCCAAAAUGGUGAAACCCUGUCUCUACUAAAAAUACAAAAAUUAGCCAGCAUGGUAGCACACACCUGUAAUCCCAGCUACUAGGGAGACUAAGGCAGGAGAAUUGCUUGAGUCCGGUGGGUGGAGGUUGCAGUGAGCCAGGAUCACGCCACUGUACUCCAGCCUGGGUGAAAGACUCAGUCUCAAAAAAAAGAAAGGGGCAUGGUCUCCUUUGCCCCUCCCUUCUUCUUGCUGGCUAGAUGGUAGGUGCAAUGGCUGGAGUUCCAGCAGCCAUUUUGGACCAUGAAGCAAUUCCAGGAAUAGAAAUUGAUAGAAGAAUGAGAUAGGAGAAGCCUGGGUCCCAACAUCAUGGAGCCUCACAGACGUGAGAAAUAAAUUCUCAUCUUUUUAAAGA